CUACGUGCCAGCAGCCGCGGUAAUACGUAGGGUGCGAGCGUUAAUCGGAAUUACUGGGCGUAAAGCGAGCGCAGACGGUUACUUAAGCAGGAUGUGAAAUCCCCGGGCUCAACCUGGGAACUGCGUUCUGAACUGGGUGACUAGAGUGUGUCAGAGGGAGGUAGAAUUCCACGUGUAGCAGUGAAAUGCGUAGAGAUGUGGAGGAAUACCGAUGGCGAAGGCAGCCUCCUGGGAUAACACUGACGUUCAUGCUCGAAAGCGUGGGUAGCAAACAGGAUUAGAUACCCUGGUAGUCCACGCCCUAAACGAUGUCGAUUUGGGGGUUGAGCUUUAAGUUUGGCGCCCGUAGCUAACGUGAUAAAUCGACCGCCUGGGGAGUACGGCCGCAAGGUUAAAACUCAAAUGAAUUGACGGGGGCCCGCACAAGCGGUGGAGCAUGCGGUUUAAUUCGAUGCAACGCGAAGAACCUUACCUACUCUUGACAUCCAGA
rnacentral:rRNA from 1 species